AUGAACGCUAGCUACAGGCUUAACACAUGCAAGUCGAGGGGCAGCAUUUUAGUUUGCUUGCAAACUGAAGAUGGCGACCGGCGCACGGGUGAGUAACACGUAUCCAACCUGCCGAUAACUCCGGGAUAGCCUUUCGAAAGAAAGAUUAAUACCGGAUAGUAUACGAAUAUCGCAUGAUAUUUUUAUUAAAGAAUUUCGGUUAUCGAUGGGGAUGCGUUCCAUUAGUUUGUUGGCGGGGUAACGGCCCACCAAGACUACGAUGGAUAGGGGUUCUGAGAGGAAGGUCCCCCACAUUGGAACUGAGACACGGUCCAAACUCCUACGGGAGGCAGCAGUGAGGAAUAUUGGUCAAUGGGCGCGAGCCUGAACCAGCCAAGUAGCGUGAAGGAUGAAGGCUCUAUGGGUCGUAAACUUCUUUUAUAUGGGAAUAAAGUUUUCCACGUGUGGAAUUUUGUAUGUACCAUAUGAAUAAGGAUCGGCUAACUCCGUGCCAGCAGCCGCGGUAAUACGGAGGAUCCGAGCGUUAUCCGGAUUUAUUGGGUUUAAAGGGAGCGUAGGUGGAUUGUUAAGUCAGUUGUGAAAGUUUGCGGCUCAACCGUAAAAUUGCAGUUGAAACUGGCAGUCUUGAGUACAGUAGAGGUGGGCGGAAUUCGUGGUGUAGCGGUGAAAUGCUUAGAUAUCACGAAGAACUCCGAUUGCGAAGGCAGCUCACUAGACUGUCACUGACACUGAUGCUCGAAAGUGUGGGUAUCAAACAGGAUUAGAUACCCUGGUAGUCCACACAGUAAACGAUGAAUACUCGCUGUUUGCGAUAUACAGUAAGUGGCCAAGCGAAAGCAUUAAGUAUUCCACCUGGGGAGUACGCCGGCAACGGUGAAACUCAAAGGAAUUGACGGGGGCCCGCACAAGCGGAGGAACAUGUGGUUUAAUUCGAUGAUACGCGAGGAACCUUACCCGGGCUUAAAUUGCAACAGAAUAUAUUGGAAACAGUAUAGCCGUAAGGCUGUUGUGAAGGUGCUGCAUGGUUGUCGUCAGCUCGUGCCGUGAGGUGUCGGCUUAAGUGCCAUAACGAGCGCAACCCCUAUCUUCAGUAGCCAGCGGUAAGGCCGGGCACUCUGGAGAGACUGCCAGGGAUAACCUGGAGGAAGGUGGGGAUGACGUCAAAUCAGCACGGCCCUUACGUCCGGGGCUACACACGUGUUACAAUGGGGGGUACAGAAGGCGGCUACCUGGUGACAGGAUGCUAAUCCCAAAAACCUCUCUCAGUUCGGAUCGAAGUCUGCAACCCGACUUCGUGAAGCUGGAUUCGCUAGUAAUCGCGCAUCAGCCAUGGCGCGGUGAAUACGUUCCCGGGCCUUGUACACACCGCCCGUCACACCAUGGGAGUCAGUAACGCCCGAAGUCAGUGACCCAACCGUAAGGAGGGAGCUGCCGAAGGUGGGACCGAUAACUGGGGUG
rnacentral:rRNA from 1 species